CGGGCAGGGAAGCCCCGCCCACACCCGGCGGGAGGCAGGCGGCUAUGGCGCUGGGCUCGGAGGCGCUGUCGGAGCGGCCGGUGCAGCUGGCGCUGGUGCUGGCCUUCGCCUCAGGCGUGCUGGUGGGCUGGCAGGCCAGCCGCGUGCGCCGCCGCUUCCUCGACUGGCGCAAACGGCGUCUGCAGGCCCAGCUGGCGGCCACGCAGAAGAAGCUGGAUCUGGCCUGACCGCCUGACUGGGAUGGAAGCCGACAAUUGAAUGAACACAAACAGACUCCUGCUCCCUUUGUAUCUAAAUAUAUUUGAAGAAAUGAGGUUUUAUAUAACACAAAUACCUUCGCACACUUCGUCACUUGAAAAAGAAGGCAUCUGUGGUAUAAUAGUCUCGCUCGCCCAAACUGACAUCUCCAAAAAUGAUCUUCAUGUGUAUUAAAAUAACCUCUGUAUGGCUACGAUGAGUUAAAUUGGUACUAUGACUGCA